GGUCCCGAGAAGAAGACCUCUAUGGUUUUCUAUUCUGGUCAAAACUCAACUACGUCGUGCUUCAGCCAGCUACGCCGUACUUCGGCCAAUAUACUCCGUACUUUGGUAACAAAAACACGCCGUAGUUCACAGACCUGGAUCCUUGCCUGAAGUAGGGCCUCACUCAACUACGCCGUAAUAACCCCAGCUACGUUGUACUGUUGUUGGGCUGUGUUCGGGGCAUGGGCACUAGACAACGGGAGCUAUGAAAUCCAUGCACACGUACAUAAUGCUACAUCAUUGUUGUUGCCAGUUUUAAAUUUUACUUGAACAUAACCUUUUUAAGUGCCGCAAGUAUCGAAUUCUCGCCAUGUACCAGUAUACUGUAUAGAAUCAUAAUAUUCCUCGAGCUCGUCAAUUGUGCAAAUCUGUCAUGUAUGUGUACAAAUAAAUUACCUAACGAUAAACCUCCCUUCUCAGCUACAAAUGUCACAUGUAUGAGAGUUCAUGGAAAACGAUGCAUUAUGCAAGUUAGAUCAUGACUUACACAAUGAGUAUCUUCGUUUCUCACUGACAUUUUGCCUCAAGUCAGUUAGUGAAGCCAGGUGAAAAGAUUAGAUAGCAUCUACAGACCACCGGUUAGCCAGCAUUCACAGGUCAGCGCUGCAAGUUUGGAGAUCUCUGACGCUGUCAACAAUUGUGUGUCACAGGUGGGAACAUAUUUACUGGCCAGAUUGUAGGUGAGGGAAUGAAGGGUGUGUUCCGUCACUGUGAACAGGGUUUGAAAAGCUUCACAGCAUGCAAGUUAUUACACCUUAUUAUUUUAGAAAGGAUGUACUAAUGUCUCCUAUGUUGAUUACAUCUAGCGAGCAAAACCCCAACCUCAAGGAAUUCUUCAGAAUGGCGAUGCACUGGAACGUGACAAAAAUCUUGUUCUCGGUGUAGUGUAUUUGGGGAUGCAUGAAUACAUGUUACUUUAUAUGUUAAGGUGAUGUUGGUGGGGUAAGACGCUGCAGUCCAGUAUUGAAGUAUGAGUGAAAAUACGUAGUUUGGGCAUUUACUAGCAUGUGUUUACACAAUCUCUCGCUGGCUGGGGUAAAUGAGGGUGCGGCUACUGUUGGGCUAGGAGCGUGAUUUAGUCAAUCUUAGGGUUUAUUAAGACGUAGUUGAGACAGGCCGUACUUCAGGCAACUAUAACGUACUAGGAAAAGUCAAGUCGUAUUGGAACCACUUGUGUGAACUAGAUCGUACUUAGAAAUAGGUCUUGCUUUGUCAAACUACGUCGUAGUUGGCUGAAGUACGUCGUAGUUGAGUUUUGACCGGAGUAGAAAACCAUAGACCUCCGACUCCACUGCAGAGUGUUCGUCCUGACCAGAAAUCCAGCAUAUCGCGAAGUAUUUCUUAUUCAAGAUUUCGAUCCAGAUCUGAGCAAGUGAAAAGACCAUGACGUCAUCACGUCGCGAUGUCUCUGUGCUCAUCCCGUUCCACGACGAGGACGAAGAAAAGGCUGAGUUUUUACGCAGAUGCCCGGAUGUACAGGUGAAUGAUGUCAUCUUCAGCAAUAUUGACGACAAUGAGACGCUCCUGGAAUACACUGAACGAGUGAAAAAGGUUUGUGAAAGUUAUUAAUAUUUU